rnacentral:lncRNA from 1 species
GUUAGACUCCAUAUAUGUAUAAUAUGUCAAAAUGCACUCUACCGCCCUGUAUAACAAAAAAGAACAAAUAAAAAAUAAAAAUGUUCAUGUCUGUACUAAACCAGUACAGAGUUUUUUUCUUAUCAUUUUCCCUAAACAAUGGAGCAUAGUAACUAUUGAAGAAUAGCAUUUGCAUCGUAUUAGGUAUGAUAACUAAUCCAGGGUUGAUCGAACACAGGAGGAUAGGUUCAAUGCAGAUACUACACCAUUUUAUAUAAUGGUCUUCAACUCCUUCAGGUUUGGAUAUCCAUGCAGGGUUCUGGAACCAAUUCUCCUCAAAUACUGCAUUUUUCUUCUUUUUAAAAGCAAAAUAACUGGCCAUAUAGGGCAGCAGCUAAAUAAUGAAAUCUUUUUGCAUUGGGUACAGCAUAAAACAAGUACACAUAUUCCUUUCUUUCAUACCGUGGGCUAUAAACAUGGGAAGGAAGUAACAUUAAUUUCCUGUCCAAUGUUUGCCAAAAUGAAAUUUUCUGAUUAUUGGUUUCAAAAAAGAAUAUAUAAACCUACCUCCUAUAAGAGACCUGAAAG